CCUACGGGAGGCAGCAGUGAGGAAUAUUGGUCAAUGGCCGAGAGGCUGAACCAGCCAAGUCGCGUGAGGGAAGACGGCCCUACGGGUUGUAAACUUCUUUUAUAAAGGAAUAAAACGAGGCACGUGUGCCUUUUUGCAUGUACUUUAUGAAUAAGGAUCGGCUAACUCCGUGCCAGCAGCCGCGGUAAUACGGAGGAUCCGAGCGUUAUCCGGAUUUAUUGGGUUUAAAGGGAGCGUAGAUGGGUUGUUAAGUCAGUUGUGAAAGUUUGCGGCUCAACCGUAAAAUUGCAAUUGAUACUGGCAGUCUUGAGUACAGUUGAGGUAGGCGGAAUUCGUGGUGUAGCGGUGAAAUGCUUAGAUAUCACGAAGAACUCCGAUUGCGAAGGCAGCUUACUAAACUGCCACUGACAUUGAUGCUCGAAAGUGUGGGUAUCAAACAGGAUUAGAUACCCGAGUAGUC
rnacentral:rRNA from 1 species